AUUGAACGCUGGCGGCAGGCCUAACACAUGCAAGUCGAGCGGAUGAAGGGAGCUUGCUCCUGGAUUCAGCGGCGGACGGGUGAGUAAUGCCUAGGAAUCUGCCUGGUAGUGGGGGAUAACGUCCGGAAACGGGCGCUAAUACCGCAUACGUCCUGAGGGAGAAAGUGGGGGAUCUUCGGACCUCACGCUAUCAGAUGAGCCUAGGUCGGAUAAGCUAGUUGGUGGGGUAAAGGCCUACCAAGGCGACGAUCCGUAACUGGCCUGAGAGGAUGAUCAGUCACACGGAACCUGGACACCGGCCAGACUCCUACGGGAGGGAGCAGGUGGGAAUUUUCGGCAAUGGGCCGAAGGCUUACGCCGCCAAGGCGCGUGUGUUGAGAAAGUCUUCCGAAUGUAAAACCCUUUUAGGUGGGAAGAAAGGGAGUUAAGUUAAUUCUUUGCUGUUUGACGGUACCCAAUAAAAAAGGCACCGCUAACCUCGUG
rnacentral:rRNA from 1 species